ACUGCACAUGCGCGAUGACCAUCCCUGACACCGGUCACUGCCGGCCGCCGGCACUGCACAUGCGCGGUGACCACCCCGGACCCCGGUCACUGCCGGCCGCCGGCACGACACGGGGGAGGGUGACGGAUGCCGGCUUGUUGCCACGCGCCUGCGCACUGCCGGGGAGGGCUCCCGGGGAAGAGAAGUCACGGGACACAGAUGGUUUAAUAAUAAAAGAAGAUUAAUUAAUGUCCAGAACGGGGUCGUUGCAGCGAUGGAGCGGGGUGCAGGUGGAAUGCAGGCACGGCUCACUCAUGCAUGCGUUUUUACCAUUGCACAGAGGAAUAUUAACUUUAAACUGGUUAUAUAAGCAUUGCAUUAGAUAUUAAUAUUAAAUGCUGUGGUAUAGAUGCAAUGCAGAGAGUAAAGAUUAUAGAGGAGCAAGAUAGACCACUCACUCCUCGAUAAACGCGUAGUAUCACGUGUGUGAUUGUCGCCGCCAUUUUAUUGCCCCCCCCCCCACACUGUCAUGGCGUCCUGAUCUAAAUCUUCAUCUCACUGCUCUGCUAUCAAUUGUUCUAAUUGUAAAUCUAAACGACCCGACCUGUCAUUCUUUAGGUUCCCCAAUAAAAACCAAAGAGAAUGUACAAAAUGAGGCCGAGGUUUCUCUGCAACAGUUUGCCUGCUGGUUUGAUGUUGGGUUUCUUUGUUUUCCUGCUUCGACCAGUUUCCACACAGAGUAAACCCACCAGUCACCAGCCUCAUCAUCAUCCAAUUUCUUCUGCAACUUUCAGUUUUCUCCAAAUCAAAGGCACAGUUUGCACCAAGACCUUCACAACCUCUGGGAAUAAAUCACGUCCCUUCCAGUUCAAUUCAGUUUAGUUCAGUGUCACGUUGGUGAGGUAAAGAGAAAAGCUUUUGCAGAAUGCUAACCAGCCUGGAGAAAGACAAGUAUAAUGAAUGCUAUUCACAACUGAAGUUAGAAUAGUUUGGAAUAGUUUCCAGUAACACAUAUUCAAGCAGAUGACUGUGUGAUGUUUGAAAUGUCUAUGAUAAUGGCAAAUGACAGAGUCUGUUGUUUUGUAAUAAAUGGAACGGUGAAUAUUCUUGCCUGUUCAUGCUGUAGUUGGUCCGAUAGAUCAAACUAAUAUUCAUUGCAUCAGAUCAUGGCGGAGGUUGGACUUAGGAGGUCACCAAUCAGCUGCAUAUGAUCAUCAAACUACUACAAUUUGUCAAAGUAAGUCCAAUAUUGAGAGCAAAUUUCUCCUCAGUUCUGAAUUUCACUCAAGGUAGAACCUCCAGCAAACAUCUUCACAAUCACUAGUUUUUCCCUCUGUCAUUUGGUGUUCUCCAAGCCCAACCUCACAGAGUUGCACCAAGAUCUUCACAGCCUAGAGAUAUAGACACGAGAGAUACAUUGUGUUCCAGGUGUACACUGGCCCUAUCCCCGAACUCUAUCCCCAUUACAUUGAUGACUGUACAUCGAUGCUAGAGUAAAUAUAUCCACAAUAUGCAAACACAAUCCAUACCCAGAAUUGUUUGGUCAUGUUAGUGGAGUGGCACAAAUUGACCCAGUUAGUCACCAUCAUAACUUGGAAAUACAUUGCUGGUCCUUCGUUAUUUGUGGGGCCUACUCCUAUCAUUUACAUAAUUUACUAAACACAUCCAUCAGUGGUGGAAUAAGGAUGGUCACAUCCUCAUGGGUUAAAACUGGAAGCCUAAACACUGAGGCCCACAUCCAAAAACAUAGAUUUAUCAGCAAAACAUCUGGAGGGAAUCACAACUUGCAGCUCAUCAUCAGCUCAGGAGUUAGUGUCGUCCUCAUUGUGACAAGAAAUCUAAUCAGGCUCCUUCCUUAAUCCGGGUUAACAACUCAUUUCCCCAUAUUGUGUGAAUUCUGCAGAGAAAUACAAUUCAUUUUUAUUGCUGCUCAGCCUCUGUUUUAGAUAUUUUUCCCCAGUUCCUGAAUCUUUCUCUUCAUAAUUCAUCUCAUCUCCCCGUCCACCCCACACUGUCCGUCACUCUCACAUUCUAAACAUAGAAACAUAGACAAUAGGUGCAGGAGUAGAGGCCAUUCGGCCCUUCGAGCCUGCACCAUUCGCCAUUCAAUAUGAAUAGGCUUCUCCUAUUUACUCUCAGUUUCAUGUCAUCAAACUUAGAAACAUUCAAUUUGUUUCCUUGUCAAUACCAUAGAUGAACAUUGAAAAUAACAGACUCAAGAACUGGCUUGAUGCUGGAUCAUUCAUCACCACCUGCCACCCUAACAAAGUCUCCUCUAUGUUUCCUGUCUGCCAAAUAAUUUUCAAUUCAUGCCUGUUUAAUAUUGCCUAAUCCACAUAUUUAAAAAUUCAAAGACAUUGCAAAUGGCCAUCUGUCCAUUUACUUCCACAGAUGAUUCCUGAUCCACAAAUUCCCUCCAGCAGUUUGCUCUUUGCUGGUGUUUACAGAAUCUACAAACUCUUGUGUCGCCACAUCUUCUCCCUUAUCUAUUCUACACGGUACAUCACCAUCAUCUCCAAUAGAUUUGUUUGCCAUGAUUUCACUUACAUACAUUCAAAAAUACAUUGUGUUAUCGCAUAAAUUAUUUUAAAUAUCCAAACACUGUUUUGGAACCCGGAAACACCAAACCAGGUUGGAGAUUGAAAUAUGUUUUAAUGAAUAAAGAGCAACAUUUACUAGAGAGAAACACCAUUAUUUUAUUUUUUAAUCAGUGGGAAGUAGCAACAAUAAUUUAAAAUUACGCUUUUUGGUCAAGACACCAACAAUACAAUAGUUAGUUACUAUCCUUAUAAUAAAUGCAUCCUCAACACACAUGCCCCAUGUUCUGUUCUCAUGUAUUAAAAAAAAUUACAUAAAUAGAAUUAUACAGAAUUACUUUUAAAUGUAAAGGGUAAAGAGAGAUAACGUCAGCGUAAAAGAGGAAGGAUCUGUGUUAGGCCCUGGAGGGAGUUGAGGGAGUACAGAGAAUGUUCACCAGACUGAUUCCUGGGAUGGCAGGACUUUCAUAUGAAGAAAGACUGGAUAGACUUGGCUUGUACUCGCUAGAAUUUAGAAGAUUGAGGGGGGAUCUUAUAGAAACUUACAAAAUUCUAUUGGGGUUGGACAGGCUAGAUGCAGGAAGAUUGUUCCCGAUGUUGGGGAAGUCCAGAACAAGG